GCUGUAAAAAAUUAGUGAAGGCAAAGCAACAAUAUAUGUAGAAUAGGGAAUUAUAUGUGGAAUCUCACAAUCUCACCUCUCUUACCAACCGAAGCUCAUGUGAGUUCCCUGCAGAUUACAACGGCCAAUGCGAGGUGGUAACCGAGAAUGAUGGUUGGGAGAACCCAAGAUCAGUAUUUUCCUAUGACGGUGGGUUAUUUGUGGAGCUUGGUGGGGAUAUACUUCACAAGGAAUGCAGUCUGAAUUCUUGAUAUUGUAAAGUUAAACCACAAUCCAAACUAGAAGUUCAAUGCCUAGUGCUGACCACAAGAUAUGAGUGAUGUAAAUAGAUCAAACACACGCGCAAAGAUAAUUUAGAUUUGAUGCAAACAAGGAGUAUGCCUAGGAUGCAAGUGUUGCAAUCAAACCCAAGCAAAAUUUUGCACCAAAGAUGGAUAAUGACUGAUUGUGUGACUUGAUAUAAAAUUCAGAACUUGAGCACAUAAACAGAGUGAACUUUCUACUCUUUCUUCACAA
rnacentral:lncRNA from 1 species